CUCAUUGGCAAUCAUACCACAUCUUUUUUUUAUGCAAGCGCUAACACGGUGAUUUCAUCCCUUCGAACCAAGAUCCAUCUUCAAACAUACGGACAUAAAGCAGUUAAAAGGUAGAACGUAUAAAAAUCAAAUAAGGAACAAAUGAGUAUCGAACAUAAAGUAAAAGGAUCGGUUGAGCACAAACACAUAUAAAUAGGUCAUAAAAAGAUCAUUUUACCUCAACAAAUUUAGAACUAUUACCAGAUAUAAGAGUAUAAACAAUUAAAAAGGGG
rnacentral:lncRNA from 1 species